UAGUUCAAUACAUUGUUUGGUUCUAGUGAGGAGCAGUCACUAGAGGAAACGGGGAAAGUUCGGUGUAAAUCCGACGCUGUACCGCAACUGUGAUGAAAGCUAAUUGAUCGUUUAUUAACAAGCUUUUCGAGUCAGGAUGCCCACCAACAACUCACGUAAACC
rnacentral:ncRNA from 2 species